AUUGAACGCUGGCGGCAUGCCUUACACAUGCAAGUCGAACGGCAGCACGGGAGCAAUCCUGGUGGCGAGUGGCGAACGGGUGAGUAAUGUAUCGGAACGUGCCCAGUCGUGGGGGAUAACGUAGCGAAAGCUACGCUAAUACCGCAUACGAUCUAUGGAUGAAAGCGGGGGAUCGCAAGACCUCGCGCGAUUGGAGCGGCCGAUAUCAGAUUAGGUAGUUGGUGGGGUAAAGGCUCACCAAGCCGACGAUCUGUAGCUGGUCUGAGAGGAGGGCCAGCCACACUGGGACUGAGACACGGGCCAGACUCCUACGGGAAGCAGCAGUGGGGAAUUUUGGGCAAUGGGCGCAAGCCUGAUCCAGCAAUGCCGCGUGCAGGAUGAAGGCCUUCGGGUUGUAAACUGCUUUUGUACGGAACGAAACGGCGAGCUCUAAUACAGUGUGCUAAUGACGGUACCGUAAGAAUAAGCACCGGCUAACUACGUGCCAGCAGCCGCCGCGG
rnacentral:rRNA from 1 species